GCUAGAAAAACGAAAGUGCUCACCAGACAUUAGAGACCUUUAGCACGACGUUCGUGCUAGGUAUCGCAAGUCUCAAACAGCAUUUCAACGUUUUCCGUCAAAUUUUCGACAUUUAACAAGGCGUCAUUACCAAGUUGUUGCUGGAAGAUCCGCCAUAUUGAAUUUCAUUGAGAAAGAGUUUUUCUCUUUCUGACUGAGAGCCUGUUUCUGGGCCUGAUUCCUAGCGGUUUGAGGUAAACGGUAAACCUGAUGCUAAAGUGCCACCAGUAUGUUGGGAUGUACAGCACAUCUCGAGGUCCAACGACGGCUUCUAGACCUUCAAUCUCUUUGAACUUUGGAAAUCUUUCAAAAUCAGCCAAGUCUUGUCACGAUAUCCAACAACCAGGGAUAGUCAAACGAGUUGAUAUCUUCUACUAACGACUUGCUCACACCUUCUAUGAUGUACAGCGGGGACUAAAAGAUAAGAAAACAGCAGAGUGCAUGUCAUAUAUCCGUGAAAACGUUUGUAAGAAGCUGCACAAAUUUGCACAAAUAUUAGUAAGUUCAGUAGACCUCAGUAGACCGUAGACCUACAAAACUUUGCACUAAUUUGCACAAUUUUGUUGAUUAACUUUUUCACGGAUAUAAGGGAUGCACUCUAUAACAAUCCAUAGUCAAACUUCUAUUAGUCAUAAUCGAGGUUCAGCGGGGAAAAUGGGUGCCCUGUCCUGGCCGUGUCCUGACUUAGACGCGGUCCAGGGGUUUUUUUUUAAGGUUCGAUAAAAAUUUGAAGAGGUCAUACAACUCUGCUACCACGCUUUCAACGAUACUUCUAUGUUGUUAUUGGUGUUGUUGUUGUUGUUGCUUUUGCUGUUGUUGUUUCGCUGUUUUUGUUUGUUUGUUUUUUGUUUUUUGUUGUUGCGAGGCUCCAAACUAGCUUUACCCUGGUUACUAAAACAAGAGGGCCUGUUGUUGUUGUUGUUGUUACUGCUGCUGUUGUUGUUGUUUCGUUGUUAUUGUUCGCUUUUUUGUUUGUUGUUCCAAACUAGCUUUACCCUGGUUACUAAAACAAGAUGCCCGAGUAGAGAUUACCCAGAGUAUAGUAGUCCAGUCGUUUUCUUUUAAUUUGAUUUACCUGGAAA